UUUUUUUCCUGAGUCUCCUUCUACGAGCUUGUUUUGCUUUUGUGCGCACCACGGAUUCUUUCAUUUUUAUCUUUCACUCACCACUUUUGGUCACUUUUGAAGAUAUAAGGUGUGGGAUUCUUCAAAUUCUUCUCAACAAUCAAAUGAUCCACUUAUUUGGUACAAAUUGGCAAAACGUAGGGUUGUUUAUUUUUCUCAUUUGGUAGGAAUUUCUUUACCCCAUUUAAAUGUUUAUUUGUUAGAGAAUGUAAUUUAUAUCUUUUACUCAUAUUGAAUCAAAAUAUAAAGUAUUGUUAUGAAUUUUAAGG
rnacentral:lncRNA from 1 species